UCUUCUGGCACACAGGCAUACAUGCAGAUAGAGUACUCAAAUAUACAAAAAGGGAAAAGAAAUGAAAGGCCUUUGAAAUGUAGACAUGCUUUCAAUUUUAAAGGCUGUUUUCACAUCUCUUAAGAACUAGGGGUUCCAUGAGAACAUAUCCUCACCCUGAGUUCUUACCACCAAUUGAAAACGCUGGCCUGUGCAUAUGAAGAUUGUAUUGCUAGUAAUCAAAUGAUCAUUUGUAGAGUUUAGUAUAAUUAUCAUUUGUUUUCCAGGGAUGAAUUUGGAGUCUGUUUUGUGCUCCUGCCUCAAGAAGAAGGAUUGCCUGGAUUUAGAGGAGUGAAGAGUGCUGGAGAGGGCCCAAAGGGACAAACAAUCCCUAUGUGAGAUUCAAGGACUGCCAGCAGCCUAUACAGCUACAUUACAUCUCAGCAGAACUUCUCUUCAAGUCCUCGCUACUCUGAACAAAAAGCUUACAGGCCACAUGGAGAAAAAAAGAUCUCCCCCCAGAAUUGUGGGCUUGUUGCUUUGCAGUGCUGGCGACCUAUUCCCUUUGACGAUCCCUAGGUGGAGAUGGGGCAUGAGGAUCCUCCAGGGGAAUAGCUCACCACCACUGGGCAACAGGCCUAGCCCAGAUUUCAGUGAGACGCUUUCCUGA
rnacentral:lncRNA from 1 species